AUGUUGUCUUUUGGCAGAAAUCAGAGAAAUAAUGUUGGUUUCAAGAUGUCAAGUAAAGCUUUCGUCCACCUGGACACUGUUCUUUGUUCAUGCAUGAGUGCUAGAUGCUACAAGAUACUGGAAGCAAGAAGGCAAGCAGGUCUUCCAAGGCCUGAAUGUCAUGGAAGAAGGAUAAAAUACUGGCAACAAGGAAAUGAACGCAAGCAAGAAAAAUCCCUCCUGUGCCGGCUGAGGUGUCCAGAACAGCCCUGUUUUCUGUACUGCCAAUUGUGGAAGACAUAUCAGCUGAUAGUUCACAGGAUCUUCAAGUGCUACCACAAGGUGAGUCAUUCUCUCUAUGCUACUUUAUACCAGAGUAGUUCCCCUGUGGAUUCUAAUGGUUUGAAACUACUGCAGUCCCUUUGACAAACACUGUAGGUAUUUUCAGCCACUGUGAUCAAAAUAUUUUGCAAAUGUGAAACAUUUUUCUGCUAACCCUGGUUAGUACUAGCUGCAUUCUCAUUACAUUGUUUGGCAGAGGCUGCUUUUUUCCAAUGGAAUGUUCUCUGUAUCUGGAAUAUUCUUUGUAUCUGAAAUAUUGCACAAGACGGUACAGCAGCUGUGUGAAAAGCUGGUUGAUUUCAAAGUCAUCUCCAGCCUUGUGAUUGUCCAAGUUCCAAAAUAGAAUGAGUAUGAUUAUAGCCUACAUAAAAGGUUACAGGCUUCAGAAGGGCUGGCUCCAAAUCAAAUGCCAAAUGAUGCCACCAUGUAUUGUACUUUAGAUUCGUCUAAAGCUGAACAUAUAGAAAACACUUGAUUUAAUUCAACAAAUAUUUAUUGGGUACCCAUUAUAUGCAAAAUAGUUUGUUUCAUGCUAAUCCCUGGAGCAAAAUAACAGUCUCAAAGUUUAAUCAUCAAAGCAUUUAUUGGACGCCCACCAGGAUGCUUCCUUUCAAUACCGUUGUAAUUCUAUGUAGUGAGCAUUCAACCAAGCCGUAUGAGCAGCGAAUAGAGAUAAUUGAAUGAGUGUAAUUGGGAGAGGAUUAGUAAUGAUGACCUCCCACUCACUGUAAUUCCACAUCGGGUCCCAUUUUGAUUACAUAAGGAACAUCAGACAUGGUUUUGACUGGGGUGGAUUCUGACCUGAAUAUGCCAGGAAUUGUAUCAAUUAUACAUCAAUUUCCAGGUAAUUGGCAACUGAGUGAUUAAAACCAAACAGAGAGUGAAAGAUUUAUCUAAGCCAAGGUUAUCAUUUUCAAGAGCUAGGAGGGAACAUAAGAGAUAAAUCCAAUGUUAUGAAGGUGAGUUCUCAAAUGAGUCCAGGUGUGAAGAAAGCAUGGAACUGUCAGAUACCAUGAUGCAAUCGGGAAAAGGUUCAGGAUUGAAAAUGGAAUCAAACCAUACUCGAUAUUUGCUAAAUAUCAAC
rnacentral:lncRNA from 1 species